rnacentral:tRNA from 1 species
GCAGUCUUAGUAUAGUGGUUAGUACAGCUCGUUGUGGCUCUCUUUAGUCGCAUUGAGUAUUCGGUCUCAAAGCCGAGCAGACGGAUGUUCGAUUCCUCCAGACUGCA